ensembl:lncRNA
AAUCCUUGUUGGUCGAUUCCUAGUCGUCCUCCAGUGUCUCAGCUCCUCCAGCAGCUCUCCUCAGACAGAGUCCUGGUCUGGAACAAACAGCGGAAGUCUUGCUUCAACAUGUGGUAAAAACAGAUGUAGUCGUCUGGUAUAUAUGGUACAAACGCCGGUAGUUUGUGGUAGCAGUAUUCUACGAGAAGUGGCACUGAGUGUGAUGAUCACUUCAGAGUCAAGCUCCAUCUACCCCACGACAGACGUCCUUCACCAGGCAGGGCCUCCACCAGCUCCUCCACAAGGCAGGGCCUUCAGCACGACUCCUCCAUCAGCUCCUUCAGCACGGCUCCUCCAUCAGCUCCUUCAGCCAUGGAUUCCUGGUCUGGUUACAAACACGGUUCGUCUCAGCAGUAAAUCACCUGGGGACACAACACACCCCCACCUCCUGCAUCUGAGGUUCAAUUGUAAAAUGGAAGACAAAUUUAAACACUUAAAUUAGACAACGUCUGCAGAUUGUCGCGUUCAGCAAUUCAUCCACUACGGUCGUAGCAGAACUAGUAACAUUAAUGGCUCAUAUGACUCUUGCAUAACCCCCGUAUGAAUUAACUCAAAUCACAGCUUGGCACAGAUUUAAAGUCAUAAGAUGAUCAAAACCAGACCUAAACUACCGUGGAUUUUAGUGUUUCAGAUGAGCUUGGUGAUGGUUACCCUCUGGUCCGGUGCUGCAGGCCCCUGGUCUCCAGCCUCACUCUCCGGUCCACCCUGGCACCACAAGCCUCCGGUCCCCAGCCUCUCAGCCUCGCCUUUCAGCUACAGCAGCAGGUUUAUAUCAGCAUUUGCCCAACAAUAAUAUCAAUUGACUCAUCCGAAACCGAGUUACGCAAUUAAUUGAACUAUUAUUUUAUAAAUGACCUGUUCUGGAGGACUUCUGACAGGAGGUGGAGGUCUUGCUCUGGGUGAGGAGGCAGACACCUUGGAACAAACUACAUGUUACCUUUUUAACCUUGUACAGUUGUUGUGUUCCACUGGCUGAGAGGAAGAACCCAAACAUCUUCCUCUUGGCCUUUCUCCUCUGAGAAUCGUGGCGCCAUCUUAAAGGAUAUUCCAGCUCAUGUAACUGAUGUCACGACAGAUUCUCAAACACAUGGUUUCUCCUGAGGGGAGCGUCUAUAGAACUGAAGACUUCAGCAGGAAUGUCUGUGUAUUUACAUUUUAAACUGUUCAUGGGCUGGUCUAGUUUGUCUGCAAAUAACUCUGCCUCCAGCAACAGGAUUGGUCGAAUCAUAUGAAGUGAAAGAAAUAAAAGCUCAGUUCACCAGAUCUGAGGUCAGCUGCGGUCAG